CGAAGGGGCGUAGCGUUGUUCGGAGUUUACUUGGGCGUAAAGACGCACGUAGGCGGAUUGUUAAGUGAGAGGUGAAAUCCCAGAGCUCAACUCUGGAACUGCCUUUCAUACUGGCAAUCUAGAGUCCGGAAGAGGUAAGUGGAACUCCUAGUGUAGAGGUGGAAUUCGUAGAUAUUAGGAAGAACACCAGUGGCGAAGGCGGCUUACUGGUCCGGUACUGACGCUGAGGUGCGAAAAGCGUGGGGAGCAAACAGGAUU
rnacentral:rRNA from 1 species